GACGAACGCUGGCGGCGUGCCUAAUACAUGCAAGUCGAGCGGACUUUCAAGAAGCUUGCAUUUUGAAAGUUAGCGGCGGACGGGUGAGUAACACGUGGGCAACCUGCCUGUAAGACGGGGAUAACUCCGGGAAACCGGGGCUAAUACCGGAUAAUAUCUUUCUUCGCAUGAAGGAAGGUUGAAAGGCGGCGCAAGCUGCCGCUUGCAGAUGGGCCCGCGGCGCAUUAGCUAGUUGGUGAGGUAACGGCUCACCAAGGCGACGAUGCGUAGCCGACCUGAGAGGGUGAUCGGCGACACUGGGGCUGAGACACGGCCCAGACUCCUACGGGAGGCAGCAGUAGGGAAUCUUCCGCAAUGGACGAAAGUCUGACGGAGCAACGCCGCGUGAGCGAAGAAGGUCUUCGGAUCGUAAAGCUCUGUUGUCAGGGAAGAACAAGUACCGUUCGAAUAGGGCGGUACCUUGACGGUACCUGACCAGAAAGCCACGGCUAACUACGUGCCAGCAGCCGCAGUAA
rnacentral:rRNA from 1 species